rnacentral:lncRNA from 1 species
GGAACACUCCGACCCGGGGUUAGUUGCGGCCGCGGGGCUAGCAGGCUCGGAAAGCCCUGCCUCUCUGGAGCGGAAGCGGGAACAGCGGGGGCGCGCACCGCCCGGGCGGGGAUAACCGGGGGGACCCGAAAGGCCUCGGAAAGGGGCUCGCGGGGAGAAACGCGUCCAGCGCUCGCGUGACCUCCUGCCGUUAGAGCAUUUUCGCAAGGAGACGGAGCGAAAGGGACCAAACUUUAGUCAGCAGUUCACCUUCACGUUGUAUUCUCAAGAUUUGUAUAGAGUAGGCACUUGGUAAACGCUAAAUGAAUAUUGUAAUAGCAUUCGUUAGCGAUGCUGUUGUGUAUGGUGAAAGCCUGCAGCUGUACAAAGUUUUCCUUUGCCAGGCACUGAUCCCAGCAUUUUACAUCUGGUAACUAAAUCGAUCCUCUCAAUAACCUGUGACGCAGAUAUGGGGCAUUAUAGAGGCAUAGCAACAAGGAAUACUGUCUCC